CCUACGGGCGGCAGCAGUGAGGAAUAUUGGUCAGUGGACGAGAGUCUGAACCAGCCAAGUAGCGUGAAGGAUGACUGCCCUAUGGGUUGUAAACUUCUUUUAUAUGGGAAUAAAAUGUUCCACGUGUGGGAUUUUGUAUGUACCAUAUGAAUAAGGAUCGGCUAACUCCGUGCCAGCAGCCGCGGUAAUACGGAGGAUCCGAGCGUUAUCCGGAUUUAUUGGGUUUAAAGGGAGCGUAGGUGGAUUGUUAAGUCAGUUGUGAAAGUUUGCGGCUCAACCGUAAAAUUGCAGUUGAAACUGGCAGUCUUGAGUACAGUAGAGGUGGGCGGAAUGCGUGGUGUAGCGGUGAAAUGCUUAGAUAUCACGAAGAACUCCGAUUGCGAAGGCAGUUCACUGGACUGCAACUGACACUGAGGCUCGAAAGUGUGGGUAUCAAACAGGAUUAGAUACCCUUGUAGUC
rnacentral:rRNA from 1 species